rnacentral:rRNA from 1 species
GAUGAACGCUGGCGGCGUGCCUAACACAUGCAAGUCGUACGAGAAAUCCUGGGCAACUGGGAAAGUAAAGUGGCGCACGGGUGAGUAACGCGUGGGUAACCUACCCUUGGAUUUGGGAUAACUCCGCGAAAGCGGGGUUAAUACCGGAUGAUAUUCCGAUUUCUACGGGGAUUGGAAUCAAAGGUGGCCUCUGCAUGCAAGCUACUGUCUAAGGAUGGGCCCGCGUACCAUUAGCUAGUUGGGAGGGUAAUGGCCUACCAAGGCAACGAUGGUUAGCUGGUCUUAGAGGAUGGCCAGCCACACUGGAACUGAGACACGGUCCAGACUCCUACGGGUGGCAG